UUAUGAAUUAUGGUGAAGAGAUAAAGCCUAAUUUGACAUGUUGGAAACAAUAUUGUUAUGAUUCACUUCGAAAGAAAAGGAUAGUUCAUAACCUACCUGCAGAAUAAUUUUCUCCUCAGGAUGACUUCACACUUGUAAAGUGGAAUGAGGUGAUUAUCAGGCGCUCUCAAGAUAGGACAUGUUACUAUUUCACUCUUCCUUAAGAUACUUCAGUACCUGCUCAUCUCCCAUGGCGCCCAGGGUGAGCACAGAAGUGGGGUCAUGUGAAUGCAAUGAGGAUCAUGCUUCCGGGCUUCUCACAUAUCAGCCCUGGUCCUGGAGCUGAUGCUCAGAUGGGGCAAAGGGGCUGAGUAAGGUCACAUCACUGGUGGUCUUUGGCAACGCUCAAGUCUAUGGAUCUGCAACAUGCCCAAAUGUGUGAGGUGGAAGAAGACAUAACAGAGGUACAAUGGCUCCUGGCUCUCAAAGGAGUUACAGACUAGCUGGAAGCACAGCUGGCCAACAAGCAACAACAGUGCAGAAGGAUGAAUGCUCAAGAGCUGAUGGGGUAGAGGAGCUUGGGAUGCCUGGUUUGGGGAGACGAAGGUCUCUGCUUUUGUGGACUUCCCCUCCCUGCUCCCCUGCCAUUGCCAGACCACAUGGAAAAGCAGUAAAACAUGGAGGUGAAGAGGAUGAGCUCCAUCUAUCCUGCCUGGUGUUAACCCCUGCUCAUCAGCUUUCUCAUUACACAGUGGAGAUGAUAA